rnacentral:rRNA from 2 species
UGCAAGUCGAGCGGACAGAUGGGAGCUUGCUCCCUGAUGUUAGCGGCGGACGGGUGAGUAACACGUGGGUAACCUGCCUGUAAGACUGGGAUAACUCCGGGAAACCGGGGCUAAUACCGGAUGGUUGUUUGAACCGCAUGGUUCAAACAUAAAAGGUGGCUUCGGCUACCACUUACAGAUGGACCCGCGGCGCAUUAGCUAGUUGGUGAGGUAACGGCUCACCAAGGCAACGAUGCGUAGCCGACCUGAGAGGGUGAUCGGCCACACUGGGACUGAGACACGGCCCAGACUCCUACGGGAGGCAGCAGUAGGGAAUCUUCCGCAAUGGACGAAAGUCUGACGGAGCAACGCCGCGUGAGUGAUGAAGGUUUUCGGAUCGUAAAGCUCUGUUGUUAGGGAAGAACAAGUACCGUUCGAAUAGGGCGGUACCUUGACGGUACCUAACCAGAAAGCCACGGCUAACUACGUGCCAGCAGCCGCGGUAAUACGUAGGUGGCAAGCGUUGUCCGGAAUUAUUGGGCGUAAAGGGCUCGCAGGCGGUUUCUUAAGUCUGAUGUGAAAGCCCCCGGCUCAACCGGGGAGGGUCAUUGGAAACUGGGGAACUUGAGUGCAGAAGAGGAGAGUGGAAUUCCACGUGUAGCGGUGAAAUGCGUAGAGAUGUGGAGGAACACCAGUGGCGAAGGCGACUCUCUGGUCUGUAACUGACGCUGAGGAGCGAAAGCGUGGGGAGCGAACAGGAUUAGAUACCCUGGUAGUCCACGCCGUAAACGAUGAGUGCUAAGUGUUAGGGGGUUUCCGCCCCUUAGUGCUGCAGCUAACGCAUUAAGCACUCCGCCUGGGGAGUACGGUCGCAAGACUGAAACUCAAAGGAAUUGAC